AACGAACGCUGGCGGCAUGCCUAACACAUGCAAGUCGAACGAGACCUUCGGGUCUAUUGGCGCACGGGUGCGUAACGCGUGGGAACCUUCCCUUAGGUUCGGAAUAACUCCCCGAAAGGGGUGCUAAUACCGGAUAAUGUCUUCGGACCAAAGAUUUAUCGCCUUUGGAUGGGCCCGCGUUGGAUUAGCUAGUUGGUAGGGUAAAAGCCUACCAAGGCGACGAUCCAUAGCUGGUCUGAGAGGAUGAUCAGCCACACUGGGACUGAGACACGGCCCAGACUCGUACGGGAGGCAGCAGUGGGGAAUAUUGGACAAUGGGCGAAAGCCUGAUCCAGCAAUGCCGCGUGAGUGAUGAAGGCCUUAGGGUUGUAAAGCUCUUUUACCCGGGAUGAUAAUGACAGUACCGGGAGAAUAAGCUCCGGCUAACUACGUG
rnacentral:rRNA from 1 species